rnacentral:rRNA from 1 species
GAUGAACGCUGACAGAAUGCUUAACACAUGCAAGUCGAUUCGAUUUACCUUCGGGUAUUGAGGAUGGCGGACGGGUGAGUAACGCGUAAGGAACUUGCCUCUUGGUCUGGGACAACUGUUGGAAACGACAGCUAAUACCGGAUAUUAUGAGAUUCUCGCAUGGGAAACUUAUGAAAGCUAUAUGCGCCAAGAGAGAGCCUUGCGUUCCAUUAGCUAGUUGGUGGGGUAACGGCCCACCAAGGCGACGAUGGAUAGCCGGCCUGAGAGGGUGAACGGCCACAAGGGGACUGAGACACGGCCCUUACUCCUACGGGAGGCAGCAGUGGGGAAUAUUGGACAAUGGGCCACAAGCCUGAUCCAGCAAUUCUGUGUGCACGAUGAAGGUCUUCGGAUUGUAAAGUGCUUUCAGUUGGGAAGAAGAAAGUGACGGUACCAACAGAAGAAGCGACGGCUAAAUACGUGCCAGCAGCCGCGGUAAUACGUAUGUCGCAAGCGUUAUCCGGAUUUAUUGNGCGUAAAGCGCGUCUAGGCGGAAAAAUAAGUCUGAUGUUAAAAUGCGGGGCUCAACUCCGUAUUGCGUUGGAAACUGUUUUUCUAGAGUACUGGAGAGGNGGGCGGAACUACAAGUGUAGAGGUGAAAUUCNUAGAUAUUUGUAGGAAUGCCGAUGGAGAA